rnacentral:lncRNA from 1 species
CUUCUAAUGUAUUUGUAUAUUUACAGCAUGAAGAUCAUACACUACAUAUUCUACAUCACAUUAUGCCAUGAGUGUAUUACUGGACAUUUUUUUCAAAGAUUAGAUGGGAACAAAACAUUCCUUCAUGUAUCAUUCACAGAAGCGGUGGCUGUUCCACAAAUAUUUGUUGAGUGCCUGCAAUGCUCCAGGUGUGUGUGGCUGUUCAAGGCUCCUCUGAGUUGGCAGCUGCCAGUGGAACAAAUGGGAAAAUCAGUGCUUGCAGUGUAAGAGGGAUUUCUGUACUUUUCAGAGGCCCCUCCUGAUUUCCAGGUUCACAGCUGGGCCAGGUAACUGAGUUUGCCUCCUAGAAGGAGGAGCACUUCUGUAUUUCAGAUGGCGAUAUGGGUCUGGGUGCUGGACAGAAGCUAAAUAUUUCCACAAAUCAUAGGCUUCUGGUGGGGUCACAGCUUGUGGCCACAGCAUGAUCAGAGAAUGGGAAAAUGGCUGUCCAAGGAUUGGAAUACAGAGGGCUAAAGAAAG